UACGGAGGGUGCGAGCGUUAAUCGGAAUUACUGGGCGUAAAGCGCACGCAGGCGGUUUGUUAAGCUAGAUGUGAAAGCCCCGGGCUCAACCUGGGAUGGUCAUUUAGAACUGGCAGACUAGAGUCUUGGAGAGGGGAGUGGAAUUCCAGAUGUAGCGGUGAAAUGCGUAGAUAUCUGGAGGAACAUCAGUGGCGAAGGCGACUCCCUGGCCAAAGACUGACGCUCAUGUGCGAAAGUGUGGGUAGCGAACAGG
rnacentral:rRNA from 1 species